AACGAACGCUGGCGGCAGGCCUAACACAUGCAAGUCGAGCGCGCCCUUCGGGGUGAGCGGCGGACGGGUUAGUAACGCGUGGGAACGUACCCAGAUCUACGGAAUAGCCUUUGGAAACGAAGAGUAAUACCGUAUACGCCCUUCGGGGGAAAGAUUUAUCGGAUUUGGAUCGGCCCGCGUUAGAUUAGAUAGUUGGUGGGGUAACGGCCUACCAAGUCUACGAUCUAUAGCUGGUUUUAGAGGAUGAUCAGCAACACUGGGACUGAGACACGGCCCAGACUCCUACGGGAGGCAGCAGUGGGGAAUCUUGGACAAUGGGCGCAAGCCUGAUCCAGCCAUGCCGCGUGAGUGAUGAAGGCCUUAGGGUCGUAAAGCUCUUUCGCCAGGGAUGAUAAUGACAGUACCUGGUAAAGAAACCCCGGCUAACUCCGUGCCAGCAGCCGCGGUAAUACGGAGGGGGUUAGCGUUGUUCGGAAUUACUGGGCGUAAAGCGCGCGUAGGCGGGUUGUUAAGUUAGAGGUGAAAUCCCGGGGCUCAACCCCGGAACUGCCUUUAAUACUGGCAACCUAGAGUUCGAGAGAGGUGAGUGGAAUUCCGAGUGUAGAGGUGAAAUUCGUAGAUAUUCGGAGGAACACCAGUGGCGAAGGCGGCUCACUGGCUCGAUACUGACGCUGAGGUACGAAAGUGUGGGGAGCAAACAGGAUUAGAUACCCUGGUAGUCCACACCGUAAACGAUGAAUGCCAGUCGUCGGGCAGUAUACUGUUCGGUGACACACCUAACGGAUUAAGCAUUCCGCCUG
rnacentral:rRNA from 1 species